AGUCGAGCGAAUGGAUUAAGAGCUUGCUCUUAUGAAGUUAGCGGCGGACGGGUGAGUAACACGUGGGUAACCUGCCCAUAAGACUGGGAUAACUCCGGGAAACCGGGGCUAAUACCGGAUAACAUUUUGAACCGCAUGGUUCGAAAUUGAAAGGCGGCUUCGGCUGUCACUUAUGGAUGGACCCGCGUCGCAUUAGCUAGUUGGUGAGGUAACGGCUCACCAAGGCAACGAUGCGUAGCCGACCUGAGAGGGUGAUCGGCCACACUGGGACUGAGACACGGCCCAGACUCCUACGGGAGGCAGCAGUAGGGAAUCUUCCGCAAUGGACGAAAGUCUGACGGAGCAACGCCGCGUGAGUGAUGAAGGCUUUCGGGUCGUAAAACUCUGUUGUUAGGGAAGAACAAGUGCUAGUUGAAUAAGCUGGCACCUUGACGGUACCUAACCAGAAAGCCACGGCUAACUACGUGCCAGCAGCCGCGGUAAUACGUAGGUGGCAAGCGUUAUCCGGAAUUAUUGGGCGUAAAGCGCGCGCAGGUGGUUUCUUAAGUCUGAUGUGAAAGCCCACGGCUCAACCG
rnacentral:rRNA from 1 species